AACGAACGCUGGCGGCGCGUCUUAAGCAUGCAAGUCGAACGAAUGUCCACCCUCGGGUGGGCGGAAGUGGCGGACGGGUGAGUAACACGUGGGUAAUCUGCCCUCCGGUGGGGAAUAGCACAUGGAAACAUGUGAUAAUACCGCAUGAUACGGUACGGCGGAUGCCGUAUCGGGAAAGCUCCUGCGGGAGCGCCGGGGGAUGAGCCUGCGGCCCAUUAGCUAGUUGGCGGGGUAAGGGCCCACCAAGGCGACGAUGGGUAGCCGGACUGAGAGGUUGAACGGCCACAUUGGGAUUGAGACACGGCCCAAACUCCUACGGGAGGCAGCAGUGGGGAAUAUUGGGCAAUGGGCGCAAGCCUGACCCAGCAACGCCGCGUGAAGGAAGAAGGCUUUCGGGUUGUAAACUUCUUUUACCAGGGACGAAGGACGUGACGGUACCUGGAGAAAAAGCAACGGCGUAACUACGUG
rnacentral:rRNA from 1 species